UACGAAGGGGGCUAGCGUUGCUCGGAAUCACUGGGCGUAAAGGGUGCGUAGGCGGGUCUUUAAGUCAGGGGUGAAAUCCUGGAGCUCAACUCCAGAACUGCCUUUGAUACUGAAGAUCUUGAGUUCGGGAGAGGUGAGUGGAACUGCGAGUGUAGAGGUGAAAUUCGUAGAUAUUCGCAAGAACACCAGUGGCGAAGGCGACUUCCUGGCCUGUUCUUGACGCUGAGGCGCGAAAGCUAGGGUAGCAAACGGG
rnacentral:rRNA from 1 species